AUGAACGCUGGCGGCGUGCUUAACACAUGCCGGUCGAACGAUGAAGCUCAGCUUGCUGGGUGGAUUAGUGGCGAACGGGUGAGUAACACGUGAGUAACCUGCCCUUAACUCUGGGAUAAGCCUGGGAAACUAGGUCUAAUACCGGAUAGGAGCGCCUACCGCAUGGUGGGUGUUGGAAAGAUUUAUCGGUUUUGGAUGGACUCGCGGCCUAUCAGCUUGUUGGUGAGGUAAUGGCUCACCAAGGCGACGACGGGUAGCCGGCCUGAGAGGGUGACCGGCCACACUGGGACUGAGACACGGCCCAGACUCCUACGGGAGGCAGCAGUGGGGAAUAUUGCACAAUGGGCGAAAGCCUGAUGCAGCGACGCCGCGUGAGGGAUGACGGCCUUCGGGUUGUAAACCUCUUUCAGUAGGGAAGAAGCGAAAGUGACGGUACCUGCAGAAGAAGCACCGGCUAACUACGUG
rnacentral:rRNA from 1 species